GAUGAACGCUAGCGGCAGGCCUAACACAUGCGAGUCGAGGGAGAGGUUACCUUCUGGUCACCAAAACCGGCGCACGGGUGCGUAACGCGUAUACAAUCUGCCUUUCACAUAGGGAUAGCCCGAAGAAAUUUGGAUUAAUACCUAAUGGUAUAUAAGAGCGGCAUCGUUUUUAUAUUAAAGCUACGGUGGUGAAAGAUGAGUAUGCGUUCUAUUAGCUAGUUGGAGAGGUAACGGCUCCCCAAGGCGACGAUAGAUAGGGGUUCUGAGAGGGAUGUCCCCCACACUGGUACUGAGAUACGGACCAGACUGCUACGGGAGGCAGCAGUGAGGAAUAUUAGACAAUGGUCGGAAGACUGAUCCAGCCGUGCCGCGUGCAGGAUGAAGGUGCUAUGGAUUGUAAACUGCUUUUGUAAGAGAAGAAUAAGGAGUACGUGUACUUUGAUGACGGUACCUUACGAAUAAGCAUCGGCUAACUCCGUG
rnacentral:rRNA from 1 species